rnacentral:rRNA from 1 species
CCUACGGGAGGCAGCAGUGGGGAAUCUUGCGCAAUGGGCGAAAGCCUGACGCAGCAACGCCGCGUGCGGGAAGAAGGCUUUCGGGCUGUAAACCGCUUUCAGCAGGAACGAAAAUGACGGUACCUGCAGAAGAAGGAGCGGCCAACUAUGUGCCAGCAGCCGCGGUGAUACAUAGGCUUCAAGCGUUGUCCGGAUUUAUUGGGCGUAAAGAGUUCGUAGGCGGUCGAGUAAGUCGGGUGUGAAAAUUCUGGGCUCAACCCAGAGACGCCACCCGAUACUGCUUGACUUGAGUUCGAUAGGGGAGUGGGGAAUUCCUAGUGUAGCGGUGAAAUGCGCAGAUAUUAGGAGGAACACCGGUGGCGAAGGCGCCACUCUGGAUCGAUACUGACGCUGAGGAACGAAAGCAUGGGUAGCAAACAGGAUUAGAUACCCUGGUAGUCCAUGCCGUAAACGGUGGGCACUAGGUGUGGGUUUCUAUUAACGAAAUCCGCGCCGUCGCUAACGCAUUAAGUGCCCCGCCUGGGGGAGGUACGGUCGCAGACUAAACUACAANAGAUAGACGCGNGAGACGNGCCGACGACGACGACGAGGGAGUAGG